rnacentral:rRNA from 1 species
UACGUAGGGGGCAAGCGUUGUCCGGAAUCAUUGGGCGUAAAGCGCGCGUAGGCGGCCCGGUAAGUCCGCUGUGAAAGUCAAAGGCUCAACCUUUGAAUGUCAGCGGAUACUGCCGGGCUAGAGUCCGGAAGAGGCGAGUGGAACUCCUGGUGUAGCGGUGGAAUGCGCAGAUAUCAGGAAGAACACCAGCGGCGAAGGCAGCUCGCUGGGACGGAACUGACGCUGAGGCGCGAAAGCGUGGGGAGCGAACAGG